rnacentral:ncRNA from 1 species
UGGCUGGGCAUUAAUUCAUUGGUGGUGAGCUCAGGGAGGAUGGAAACCUCCCACAGAGCAGAAGGGCAAAAGCUCAUUUGGUCUUGAUUUUCAGUACGAAUACAGACUGUGAAAGUGGGGCCUCACGAUCCUUCUGGCUUUUUGGGUUUUAAGGAGGAG